GGGAGAGGAGAAGAGAGAAAGAAAAGAAAGAAGAAGAGGAAGAGGAAGAAAGGAGGGCUGGUUUUGGACUGGUUCUUGGAGCUGCAUAGAGGUUGUGCAUGCUGCUGCUGUUGCUGCCUACUGUCCUUGCUACUGCUACUAUACUUCUACUACUGCUUCUGCUGUUCAAGAUGGUAAAUGGGGGUGUAUGCAAGCUAAAGAAGGCUGUGGUUGAUGUCCAAGCUUGGAGCAAGCAAGCUGAGAGAGGCAAGGGCUGCUGACCAAGCUAGAUCUCUAUUGCUUCUACUGUACUUGCUAUUAUGCUACUGUUGUACACACAAAAAGGAUCAGUAAGCACUUUUUGGUGGAGCACAAAUGGAUGAGAUGAGAAGAGAAGAUGAGUUCUAUUUUAUUUUAGUAGUUGCGUUAAAAAUAAUUAUAAUAGACUUAUUGAGGUUUUAAUUGUAGCCACCAAACAUAUGAUGGUCAGUUGAUGGAUUAUGGACUUUAGUUUAAAUUCCUUUUUUUGAAUGCUUUCUAAUGUGUUCAUUUGGUCUAUGUAAUAAAUUUAUGAAUUUGUAUAGGUAAUCUAUGAGAUAUUAGUUUUUUUUUUCUAA